UGAACCGGAAGCCGGGUUACGGUGCCCAAC
rnacentral:snRNA from 1 species